UGGGGGAUAGUUUAGUUGGUAGAACAGCGGACUCUGGCUCCGCCAGCCCAGGUUCGAAUCCUGGUCCCCCAG
rnacentral:tRNA from 2 species